UACGUAGGGUGCGAGCGUUGUCCGGAAUUAUUGGGCGUAAAGAGCUCGUAGGCGGUGUGUCACGUCGGCCGUGAAAACCUGGGGCUUAACUCUGGGCGUGCGGUCGAUACGGGCAUCACUAGAGUUCGGCAGGGGAGACUGGAAUUCCUGGUGUAGCGGUGAAAUGCGCAGAUAUCAGGAGGAACACCGGUGGCGAAGGCGGGUCUCUGGGCCGAUACUGACGCUGAGGAGCGAAAGCAUUGGUAGCGAACAGG
rnacentral:rRNA from 1 species